rnacentral:rRNA from 1 species
UACGAAGGGGGCUAGCGUUGCUCGGAAUCACUGGGCGUAAAGGGUGCGUAGGCGGGUCUUUUAGUCAGGGGUGAAAUCCUGGAGCUCAACUCCAGAACUGCCUUUGAUACUGAAGAUCUUGAGUUCGGGAGAGGUGAGUGGAACUGCGAGUGUAGAGGUGAAAUUCGUAGAUAUUCGCAAGAACACCAGUGGCGAAGGCGGCUCACUGGCCCGAUACUGACGCUGAGGCACGAAAGCGUAGGGAGCAAACAGG